UUUUUUAUUGUAAAGAUGAUUUAAAAAUAUUUGAUAUUAUUUUAUUUGAUUUUAAAUGUAUAGUAAACUGUGAGUUGUAUAUGUUUUGUUGAUAUUAUCUAUAUUGUUUAGUGUUUAAGAUUAUACACUUGUAGUUUGAUUGUUAAUUUACGAGUUUCACCUGUAGUAUACCAUUUUGUAUUAAUAUCGAUCUAAACAUGCAAUUCUAUGAUUUCCAACUUGUAUUAAAAAUUGAAUCACAUCUAAUAUGUUAUUAAUUAUUGUAAUAUAUAAGAUUAUAAAUUUUCAAUAUAAUAUGUAUGAAAUUGAAUAUAAAUAUUUCAAAUUAUGACCUGUUACUCAGUAGAAAGUUUUCUUAAAUCUAUUUUUUACCCGUUAUAAUAUUUUUUUAUGUAUUGAACAGUUUAUAUUUGUUUUUAAAAAUUCAAAUUAUGGCAUAUGGGAAAAAACUCUAAUUAUUCUUUUAUAAUGAUGAUAUUAUUUUUCCGCAAAAAUAAAAUCAUAUAAAGAUGAGAAGUGAACUAUAAUAAUUAAUAAAAAAA
rnacentral:sRNA from 1 species